rnacentral:misc_RNA from 1 species
GUGCCUUGGUGCCAUCUGCGGCGCGGGCGUCGUGAAGGGCUUCGAGGGCUCCACCUACGUGCAGAAGCUCGGUGGUGCAAACUUCGUCGCCUCUGGCUACACCAAGGGCAGCGGUCUCGGUGCUGAGAUUGUCGGUACCUUCGUUCUCGUCUACACCGUCUUCUCCGCCACCGAUGCCAAGAGAAAUGCCAGAGAUUCUCACGUCCCUAUUUUGGCUCCUCUUCCCAUUGGGUUUGCAGUGUUUUUGGUUCAUUUGGCCACCAUUCCCAUUACCGGCACCGGCAUUAAUCCGGCCAGGAGUCUCGGAGCUGCAAUCAUCUACAACAGGCAACACGCUUGGGAUGACCACUGGAUCUUCUGGGUGGGACCUUUCAUUGGAGCUGCUUUGGCUGCUAUUUACCACCAAAUCAUCAUCAGAGCUAUUCCAUUCAAGGCCAGGGCUUGAAGAGAAGAGCUUCAAUUCAUAAAUCAUUAUCACUUCCACCGAGAGAGAGAUUAUGUGUGUGUUCUUCUUUUAGCUUUUUUUGGUUUUUGUAAUCUUCCUUUGCUUAUUUGGUGUACUUGAGAAGCUGAGAUGGAUUUGUGUGUAAAUUAAGUUAUCUAUGUGUUAAUUAUUAAUGAUGUUGUAAUUUUCAAGUUAUGUAAUGGACAAUGAAUUCUUUUGUGC